rnacentral:rRNA from 1 species
CGGCACCACGAGGGUUAUACUGUCUCCCCCUUCUAAUCAGUGAAACUGACCUCCCCGUGAAGAGGCGGGGAUAAAACUACAAGACGAGAAGACCCCAUGGAGCUUUAAACCCAAUAAUAAUUUUUACCUAAACAAUCCAUAAAAGCAUAAAAAUUCUAUUUAUUGGUUUUGGGUUGGGGCGACCACGGAGUAAAACAAAACCUCCCUGACGAACAGGUUUUAUCCUAAUCCAAGAGCUACUGCUCUAAGAAUCAAAAAUUUGACGUAACAUGAUCCGGUAACCGAUCAACGAACCAAGUUACCCUGGGGAUAACAGCGCAAUCCAUUUUUAGAGCCCUUAUCAACAAAUGGGUUUACGACCUCGAUGUUGGAUCAGGGUGUCCUAGUGGUGCAGCCGCUACUAAAGGUUUGUUUGUUCAACAAUUAAUACCCU